GAUAAUGAUAUUAACAAGUUCGACUGGUUCGACUGCGUUUCACUGCAGGGAGGUUGCUUAAUACGCAAUAUACCUUCGUGGUGAGCGAAUACGACAACUGCGACAUACUGCGAGUUCGCCAUCGGAACAACGGUUGUGAAUUAUGGUCCCUCAUGGAAAAGGUCAACGAAAUCAGCAGCCUGUGCCAUUUCAUCUAUGAUCUGUUGUGUGGCCCUGAGAAGUACAUAAUCUACGAUCCAGAAACUUGCGGGAAGGUACCACUGUGGCUUCAA
rnacentral:lncRNA from 1 species